CCCCUCUCAGGGAUGUACCUGGAGGGUUUCCAGUACUCUAUCAGCCUCGGCUGCGGGAGGGAGAGUCAAGCAGCGAUCUACCCAUUCCUUUCCUAGCCUGGCCAGUGGCUAGUGAGUGGAAGGCAAUCUGCUACAAGU